GUUCUUUUGCUUUCUUCAUGGCAACAGCCCAGCAGACUCGGACUGAGAUCAAAAAGCACCAUGUCACCUGGAGGUCUGUGGAGAAGCAGAGAGAUGUUGAAACCUCCCUCCACCUCCAUCAUCAAAGCCUUCAGGAGAAUUCAGAGCUUCUGAUGAAGUCCUGUGGUGCUGUGGUGUUGUGCUCUCCUUUUGCAGAACUCAACGAAUUAAAGAUGAAGGUAUCAGUAGCAUUCAGUUUUGGCUUUCACAUAUAGUUUUACUACUGUAAAAUACUUUCAAAACUUCUGUACUGCAGCAGCCUUUUCAUUUGUGUGCUUUUAAAGCAACUUUGGGUAACAGAAAUUACACAUGCUGUAAGUAUCAGCAACAAUGUAAAGAAAGACCAAAAAGAGGCCUGUCAAAUCUUUCAUUCCUGUAAAAUAAAGUGAAAGAAGAGAGUAAAAA